rnacentral:rRNA from 1 species
AUUGAACGCUGGCGGCAAGCCUAACACAUGCAAGUCGAACGAGUGGCGGACGGGUGAGUAAUGUAUGGGAAACUGCCUGAUGGAGGGGGAUAACUACUCGAAACGGUAGCUAAUACCGCAUACCAUUGGAUGUGCCCCGAUGGGAUUAGCUAGUAGGUGGGGUAAAGGCUCACCUAGGCGACGAUCCGUAGCUGGUCUGAGAGGAUUACCAGCAACACUUGAACUGAGACACGGUCCAGACUCCUACGGUAGGCAGCAGUGGGGAAUAUUGGAGAAUGGGCGAAAUCCUGAUUCAGCCAUGCCGCGUGUAUGAAGAAGGCCUUCGGUUUGUAAAGUACUUUCCGCGGGGAAGCGUUACCCGCAGAAGAAGCACCGGCUAACUCCGUGCCAGCAGCCGCGGUAAUUC